rnacentral:rRNA from 1 species
UACGUAGGGACCGAGCGUUGUCCGGAAUCAUUGGGCGUAAAGGGCGCGUAGGCGGCCUCUUAAGUCGAACGUGAAAUCCCCGGGCUCAACCCGGGAACUGCGUCCGAUACUGGGGGGCUUGAAUCCGGGAGAGGGAUGCGGAAUUCCAGGUGUAGCGGUGAAAUGCGCAGAUAUCAGGAGGAACACCGGUGGCGAAGGCGGGUCUCUGGGCAAUAACUGACGCUGAGGAGCGAAAGCGUGGGGAGCGAACAGG